UCUAUGCCAAAGGAGGAGCUUGAAGACUAGGUUUUUGAUAUUCUCUCAUUAUGGGCUCCCCUAUUUGGUGGAAAUCCAGAACAAGAAAUUAAGCAAAUUGGGGAUUUGACACCAAGCAUUUGAUUGCCUAGGUCAGUACUUGAAGUUGCAAAGAAAAUGCUAACAAAACCUAGUCGCAACCCUGUGGCUGCAACAGUUGAAAAAGAAGCUGGAUGGCUACUUCUAUCCUCUCUAUUAUCUUCUAUGCCAAAGGAGGAGCUUGAAGACCAGGUUUUUGAUAUUCUCUCAUUAUGGGCUCCCCUCUUUGGUGGAAAUCCAGAA